AACUUUCAACAACGGAUCUCUUGGUUCUGGCAUCGAUGAAGAACGCAGCGAAAUGCGAUAAGUAGUGUGAAUUGCAGAAUUCAGUGAAUCAUCGAAUCUUUGAACGCACAUUGCGCCCCUUGGUAUUCCAUGGGGCAUGCUUGUUCGAGCGUCA
rnacentral:rRNA from 3 species